rnacentral:rRNA from 1 species
UACGUAGGGUGCAAGCGUUAAUCGGAAUUACUGGGCGUAAAGCGUGCGCAGGCGGUGAUGUAAGACAGUUGUGAAAUCCCCGGGCUCAACCUGGGAACUGCAUCUGUGACUGCAUCGCUGGAGUGCGGCAGAGGGGGAUGGAAUUCCGCGUGUAGCAGUGAAAUGCGUAGAUAUGCGGAGGAACACCGAUGGCGAAGGCAAUCCCCUGGGCCUGCACUGACGCUGAGGCGCGAAAGCGUGGGUAGCAAACAGG